rnacentral:rRNA from 1 species
GUGCCAGCCGCCGCGGUAAUACGUAGGGUGCGAGCGUUAAUCGGAAUUACUGGGCGUAAAGCGUGCGCAGGCGGAUUGUUAAGCAAGAUGUGAAAUCCCCGGGCUUAACCUGGGAAUGGCAUUUUGAACUGGCAAUCUAGAGUGUGUCAGAGGGGGGUAGAAUUCCACGUGUAGCAGUGAAAUGCGUAGAGAUGUGGAGGAAUACCGAUGGCGAAGGCAGCCCCCUGGGAUAACACUGACGCUCAUGUACGAAAGCGUGGGUAGCAAACAGGAUUAGAUACCCUGGUAGUCCACGCCCUAAACGAUGUCAACUGGUUGUUGGGAGAGUGAAAUCUCUUAGUAACGAAGCUAACGCGUGAAGUUGACCGCCUGGGGAGUACGGUCGCAAGAUUAAAACUCAAAGGAAUUGACGGGGACCCGCACAAGCGGUGGAUGAUGUGGAUUAAUUCGAUGCAACGCGAAAAACCUUACCUACCCUUGACAUGUCCAGAAUCCUGCAGAGAUGCGGGAGUGCCCGAAAGGGAAUUGGAACACAGGUGCUGCAUGGCUGUCGUCAGCUCGUGUCGUGAGAUGUUGGGUUAAGUCCCGCAACGAGCGCAACCCUUAUCAUUAGUUGCUACGCAAGGGCACUCUAAUGAGACUGCCGGUGACAAACCGGAGGAAGGUGGGGAUGACGUCAAGUCCUCAUGGCCCUUAUGGGUAGGGCUUCACACGUCAUACAAUGGUCGGUACAGAGGGUUGCCAAGCCGCGAGGUGGAGCCAAUCCCAGAAAGCCGAUCGUAGUCCGGAUUGUUCUCUGCAACUCGAGAGCAUGAAGUCGGAAUCGCUAGUAAUCGCGGAUCAGCAUGUCGCGGUGAAUACGUUCCCGGGUCUUGUACACACCGCCCGUCACACCAUGGGAGUGGAAUCUGCCAGAAGUAGGUAGCCUAACCGCAAGGAGGGCGCUUACCACGGUGGGUUUCAUGACUGGGGUGAAGUCGUAACAAGGUAACC